AUGAAUGUCAUGGUGGUCAAGAAGUCGGUCCCGCCGCCUCCUGCGGAGGAGUUGGAGUACACGAAAGACAUGGGGUGCGCGGCCGCGACCAAGGCCGUGGCUGUGGAGUACACGGAAGAGGAGCGCGUGGAUGGUGCGCUGGAGCUGUACGCGAGGGUGGAGGCGCUGGAGGCAGACAGGGCGGCCACGCGGAGGGAGGUGGCGGCGCUGCGAGCCGAGCCAGCGCGAGAGGUGCUAGCAAGGGAGAUGGCACGGCGCCUGUGCCGUGAAUCCGCGGCCGUCACGAUGGUGCACAAGCCGCGUUUCUCCGUGCUCGCCAUUUGCAAGUUUUCUCACCAUGGAACCUGGGCGAACGUUCCCUGA
rnacentral:rRNA from 1 species